UAGGGAAUCUUCGGCAAUGGGGGGAACCCUGACCGAGCAACGCCGCGUGAGUGAAGAAGGUUUUCGGAUCGUAAAGCUCUGUUGUUAAGGAAGAACGAGUGUGAGAAUGGAAAGUUCAUGCUGUGACGGUACUUAACCAGAAAGGGACGGCUAACUACGUGCCAGCAGCCGCGGUAAUACGUAGGUCCCGAGCGUUGUCCGGAUUUAUUGGGCGUAAAGCGAGCGCAGGCGGUUAGAAAAGUCUGAAGUGAAAGGCAGUGGCUCAACCAUUGUAGGCUUUGGAAACUGUGUAACUUGAGUGCAGAAGGGGAGAGUGGAAUUCCAUGUGUAGCGGUGAAAUGCGUAGAUAUAUGGAGGAACACCGGUGGCGAAAGCGGCUCUCUGGUCUGUAACUGACGCUGAGGCUCGAAAGCGUGGGGAGCGAACAGG
rnacentral:rRNA from 2 species